UCCCUAUGGGGUGCAGCAGGCGCGAAAACUCUGCAAUAAGCGAAAGCUUGACAGGGUUAUUCUGAGUGAUUUCCGCUAAGGAAAUCUUUUGGCACCUCUAAAAAUGGUGCAGAAUAAGGGGUGGGCAAGCCUGGUGUCAGCCGCCGCGGUAAUACUAGCACCCCGAGUGGUCGGGACGAUUAUUGGGCCUAAAGCAUCCGUAGCCGGUUCUACAAGUCUUCCGUUAAAUCCACCUGCUCAACAGAUGGGCUGCGGAGGAUACUAUAGAGCUAGGAGGCGGGAGAGGCAAGCGGUACUUAGUGGGUAGGGGUAAAAUCCGUUGAUCCAUUGAAGACCACCAGUGGCGAAGGCGGCUUGCCAGAACGCACUCGAUGGUGAGGGAUGAAAGCUGGGGGAGCAAACCGGAUUAGAUACCCGGGUAGUCCCAGCUGUAAACGAUGCAGACUCGGUGAUGAAUAGGCUUCGUGCCUAUUCAGUGCCGCAGGGAAGCCGUUAAGUCUGCCGCCUGGGGAGUACGGUCGCAAGACUGAAACUUAAAGGAAUCGGCGGGGGAGCACCACAAGGGGUGAAGCCUGCGGUUCAAUUGGAUUCAACGCCGGAA
rnacentral:rRNA from 1 species